rnacentral:rRNA from 1 species
UGGGGAAUAUUGGACAAUGGGCGCAAGCCUGAUCCAGCCAUACCGCGUGGGUGAAGAAGGCCUUCGGGUUGUAAAGCCCUUUUGUUGGGAAAGAAAUCCAGCUGGUUAAUACCCGGUUGGGAUGACGGUACCCAAAGAAUAAGCACCGGCUAACUUCGUGCCAGCAGCCGCGGUAAUACGAAGGGUGCAAGCGUUACUCGGAAUUACUGGGCGUAAAGCGUGCGUAGGUGGUCGUUUAAGUCUGUUGUGAAAGCCCUGGGCUCAACCUGGGAACUGCAGUGGAAACUGGACGACUAGAGUGUGGUAGAGGGUAGCGGAAUUCCUGGUGUAGCAGUGAAAUGCGUAGAGAUCAGGAGGAACAUCCAUGGCGAAGGCAGCUACCUGGACCAACACUGACACUGAGGCACGAAAGCGUGGGGAGCAAACAGGAUUAGAUACCCUGGUAGUCCACGCCCUAAACGAUGCGAACUGGAUGUUGGGUGCAAUUUUGGCACGCAGUAUCGAAGCUAACGCGUUAAGUUCGCCGCCUGGGGAGUACGGUCGCAAGACUGAAACUUAAAUGAAUUGACGGGGGUCAUAGCUGUUUUCCGU